ensembl:lncRNA
UGGUUGUCUGGAUUUUCCGGUUUUUCUGGCCACAGCUACAAUAGGGAGGGAGGGCCAGUCCUCAUUGUUAUAUCUAGCAGCCUCUUUUUCCAAAGCAUCAGCAUCUCCCGGAUCUAAGGGACCCUCAUCUGGAAGAAGACCCUUCCUUAAUGCAGGCUUCGCAUCAGCAUACACUGGCGGAGCAGAUGGCUUAGUUUCACUUUUUGUAGGAGGCGGAGGGACAAGCUCGGGAACAUCAGCCUUGCCAGGCUCCUCAGAGGAAGGACUUGAGGAGGGUCUUUCAACCCUCUCUCCCUCAUACCGAGGAUCCAAACUAUCUCUAAUUAAAGCCCAUAAACUAAAAGUAUCUAUAGGGGCUUUAGUGGGUCCAUGACCAUCAUAAUAGUCCUGAAGUUGUUUUCCCACCUUAGUCCAUAUUUCUAAAUCUACUGUGCCUUUUUCAGGGAACCAAGGACAAACUUUUUUUACAAAUUUUAAAAAAUUACAUAAUUGUUGAUGCCCUACCUUUGCUCCACGAGACCGAAGCAUAUUCUUAAGUAUUUGCGCAAAAAGCAUUGGGCUACUGCUAUUACCCAUCUUGCUACUCCCGAGUGUAUUCACCGCCCUUGACUUAUCCGAGCUCACAAUCCGCGGUGUCCUUCACUAUGGUCCCCCGUAUUCAGGUCCCUGUUCGGGUGCCACCCGUGACGGAGCCCGCCGUCACCUGUCGAACAGUACCUGAAUGGGGGAAUGAGGAUGAAGAAAAAUAAAGACAAAGAGAUAGAGCCGGGAGGGCUCCCAGAGAUCGAGUGCCCAAGUUUAUUUUUCACCUUUCUUUUAUACACUUGUGCCUCUUUAAACAGUAUUGCUUCGAAGUAACAGGUGGGUCUCUGUUGACUUACCCGCGGGCCAGGACAAGUGGCGCCCAACGUGGGGCCCGAGAACGGGGGAUCCAGUGAAGAACGCUGCUCGGGGGCCCAAUAAAAUAGAAGAGACAAAUAAAAUAGAAAAAAGAGGAUUGUGUUUGACGUGAACCUGCCAUCUUUCCUGCACCUCGAUGGUUCCUCCACAGGGAUGGCUGCCUAUGUGUGGGACACUAACACCGUCCAAUUCCAGACCAGUUGUUCCUCCA